UCAUCUUGUAAUGUUAGAAUGAACUUGA
rnacentral:sRNA from 1 species